ACUUAAAUAGUUUAAGAAUAAAAUUUUGAUUUGUGGUGUCAAGGAUAAUAAAGAUUUUUAAGUU
rnacentral:tRNA from 1 species